rnacentral:rRNA from 1 species
UUGCGACCCCAGGUCAGGC